AUUCGGGAGACUCGAUUCGCUCCCAUCCCGUGGGUAGGCCUUCCUUUUCAAGCGGAUGCGACCAAUGCGUAGUCUUGGUGUUAUGAUCGAUAUAAUACUUUCGGCCACGGAGCGUGAAAUCGACUGACCAUCCAGGUGGCAAAGGUGACAGUUCAGGAUGAUACAUGGGUGUGGCGGUCCUCGAAAACAUGCCGUCAUUCAUUGCAGUAUUAACGGAAAGGUUGUUGUGGGGAAAUGGACUAUGACACGAGAGAAGCAUCGAUAAAAAUCAAUAUCUUCAGAUGGCUUCUUAUAUGUUUCAAUGAUUCUUGACCAGGACUGCUGCUUGGGAAUUACGAGACAUUGUAGAAAACUUUUUUUCGUGACUCGUUGAUAGAAAAUUGAUUAAAUUGUAUUUUCAAAUAUUUGUUGAUAAAUAUAUUUUGAGCAAUAUCUGUGAUGCAGGAUAUAUUAAUCUUGGCAGCAUAUCACAAUUGUAUAAAUUUAUAAAGAUCUACUUAUUAAUUGUUAGAAAUAAAAAUUUUUUUGAAACAAUA